GAAUUCGCUGCAUAGAAUCUUAAUGUUAACUAUGAAAUUUUAGGUUUUUGGAUAAUACAGACUACACUUGUGUAUCCCACGGUGUUUUCUAAAUUUAAAGCACCAGUGUAUCCCACGGUGCAUCUUUACAUUUUCAUAUAUAUCUAUCUUCACAUCUAUCUAUCUACCUGGUUGCCAUAUUAUCUUCGGGUAACCGACCAUAGAUCUAUCUACAUAUACAUGGUCUAUGGUCUAUCUAUCUAUAUAUAUAUAUUAUAUAUUGUAUGAAUCUAUCAUAUUAUGAAUAAAAGCUGUGGCCAGAUAUCGCCAAACCAUAUAUGUAUUUUGUUUUAAUGGCACCAUCUGAGAUAAUUGCAAAA
rnacentral:lncRNA from 1 species